UGGGAGCAGAGCGGUCCGGUCCCAGGGCUCGCUCGGGAGCGCGAACGGAGAGAGAAGAGACAGCGUAGAGCCUGCGGGGGAGGAUAAUCGAGAGCUGUAGGUCUUGAUAUCGCUUCCCACUCUGAGCACGAGGAGGAGGCUCGGGAUGCCAAUCUGAAGUGCUGAAAAGUCCUGCAAUCAUUUUGGAAGCCAGGGGCUUGCUGAAGAGUAUCUGAUACCCAUUGUGGAAGCUACAAAGCCUCAUCAUAACCUUGUUUGCACGUUUCCCACCUCUCCAUCUGUGGAACGUCUCUAAAACCACCAAUAUGAAUAAGAAGAUAAGUACCAACGUUACUUUGCAGCCUGAGCUCUGUACAGUCAGGCAGGAUGUUUUUAUUUGUUUCACACCAAGGAAAAAAUAACACCGGUGAACCUCCAGGUGGUUUUUGGCACAUCUGAAAGCUUCCCGUGGGCUCACCCAGCAGUCACGUGCAAUAGGGCACAAUGCACCACAGCACUGUGCAGGAGACACGCAGCCAAGAGCAACACUGCAGAACGCUUUCUGGGACAAAAUGACCUCACCAUAACGUUUGAACUGGGAUACACAAUUCCAGAGGCUUUGAUGUUAGUCCAGGCCAGGGGAUCCGAAAACAUAGUCACGCCUUUCUUUCACCGCUGUGAUAGAUGGAAGCGGUCAGAACAGGCGCACAUCGCGCAGAUAUGCUCACCCACCUUCCUAAGGGCAAGCACGGAAGGAACUCUGAGCUCAUGUGGUCAGGACAGCCUGGAG
ensembl:lncRNA